rnacentral:rRNA from 1 species
UACGUAGGGGGGCAAGCGUUGUCCGGAUUUAUUGGGCGUAAAGAGCGUGUAGGCGGCCGUACAGGUCAGCUGUGAAAACUCGAGGCUCAACCUCGAGACGUCGGUUGAAACCGUACGGCUAGAGUCCGGAAGAGGAGAGUGGAAUUCCCGGUGUAGCGGUGAAAUGCGCAGAUAUCGGGAAGAACACCCGUGGCGAAGGCGGCUCUCUGG